rnacentral:rRNA from 1 species
AAGGGCAAGUCUGGUGCCAGCAGCCGCGGUAAUUCCAGCUUCAGCAGCAUCUAUUAAAGUUGCUGCGGUUAAAAGGCUCGCAGUUGAAUGUCUGUAUCGAGCGCAGGUCAGGUGGACGUUGGGGCGUGGAAGUACGGGCAGUUGGAUGUCCGGAGGGCCUUCGUGCUCAACGGCUCCUUCGGCUUUUCCACACACCCCCGUCCGUGACAAGCCUCCUCGCUCGGGUACAUAACGGGAAUCGGUCAAACGGAGUGUGGUCGGGGGUUGAGGUGCGUGGCUUCGGUUGCGUGCUUCUUCUUUCGGCUGCGUUAAGCUCCAUCGGUUUCACGGUCACCUUGAGUAAAUCAGAGUGCUCAAAGCAGUCGUAGGGGCCUUGCGCCCUGUGAACAGUCUUGACGGACUGACUUGGUUUUGCAUGGCAUGUCGGAAGACGACGUCGUGUGCUGGCUCAGAGGAUAAAUCAGUGGUACAAGCCAGCCUCGACGUAAUGAUUAAAAGGGACGGUCGAGGGCAUUGGUAUUGCGAGGCGAGAGGUGAAAUUCUGUGACCCCCGCAAGACCUCCUGAAGCGAAAGCGUCUGCCAAGGACGUUUUCAUUAAUCAUGAACGAAAGUUAGAGGAUCGAAGGCGAUCAGAUACCGCCCUAGUUCUAACCCUAAACGAUGCCAACCAUCAAUCCGCGCGUAGCACCCUUCUUAACGGGCUCGGCGGGCAGCUCCCCACUCACGGGAAACCAGAGCCUCUGGGUUCCGGGGGGAGUCUGGUUGCAAAGCUGAAACUUAAAGGAAUUGACGGAAAGGCACCACCAGGCGUGGAGCCUGCGGCUUAAUUUGACUCAACACGGGCCAUCUCACCAGGCCAGCACUCUUGUACGAUUGACAGAUUGAGAGCUC